rnacentral:rRNA from 1 species
GACGAACGCUGGCGGCGUGCCUAAUACAUGCAAGUCGAACGCUUCUUUCCUCCCGAGUGCUUGCACUCAAUUGGAAAGAGGAGUGGCGGACGGGUGAGUAACACGUGGGUAACCUACCCAUCAGAGGGGGAUGACACUUGGAAACAGGUGCUAAUACCGCAUAACAGUUUAUGCCGCAUGGCAUAAGAGUGAAAGGCGCUUUCGGGUGUCGCUGAUGGAUGGACCCGCGGUGCAUUAGCUAGUUGGUGAGGUAACGGCUCACCAAGGCCACGAUGCAUAGCCGACCUGAGAGGGUGAUCGGCCACACUGGGACUGAGACACGGCCCAGACUCCUACGGGAGGCAGCAGUAGGGAAUCUUCGGCAAUGGACGAAAGUCUGACCGAGCAACGCCGCGUGAGUGAAGAAGGUUUUCGGAUCGUAAAACUCUGUUGUUAAAGAAGAACAAGGACGUUAGUAACUGAACGUCCCCUGACGGUAUCUAACCAGAAAGCCACGGCUAACUACGUG